GAUGAACGCUGGCGGCGUGCCUAAUACAUGCAAGUCGAGCGAACAGAUAAGGAGCUUGCUCCUUUGACGUUUGCGGCGGACGGGUGUGUAACACGUGGGUAACCUACCUAUAAGACUGGGAUAACUUCGGGAAACCGGAGCUAAUACCGGAUAACAUUUGGAUCCGCAUGGUUCUAAAGUGAAAGAUGGUUUUGCUAUCACUUAUAGAUGGACCCGCGCCGUAUUAGCUAGUUGGUAAGGUAACGGCUUAUCAAGGCAACGAUAGGUAGCCGACCUGAGAGAGUGGUCGCCCACACUGGAACUGAGCCAGGCUCAAGACUCCUACGAGAGGCAGCAGUAGGGAAUCUGCCGCAAUGGGCGGGAGCCUGACGGAGCAGCGCGGCGUGAGUGAUGAAGAGGUUCGGCGCGGAAAACUCUGUUAUUAGGUAAGAACAAACGUGUAAGUAACUGUGCACGGAUUGACGGUAACUAAUCAGAAAGCCACGGCUAACUACGUG
rnacentral:rRNA from 1 species